AAAUGGAGUAGGUCGGUGAGCGCCGAUCUGCUGGAGAAUCUCAUUAUCCCAUCGGCGCUCUGCCUGCUCCUGGCCUCCAAGCCUCUGAAGCCCCUCGGGUUUCAGCUGCCGGCUACCCUCGAGCCCGUGGUGCCCACGAGAGAGGCGACUUUACGUCAGCGGCCCUGGGCUGAGAUUUGAGAACGCGACCAAGUGGAGAAUGUUGGAGCCAGAUUUUAAAAUCCUUGUCUUCCUUCUGCGUGCUACUUGAUCUAAAUGAGAUACGGCAAAGUCACAGAACCUGUUUUUAUGUUUUUGCCUGAUUCAUACGGGCUUCUCCGGUGAAGAUGGGCCUGAAGUAACGCUUGGGUUGCUUCUGACGUUAUAACUCAUCCUGUAGCUGCAGCAACCGUGGUCCUUGCAACCUCAUAAAAAUGUUGCCAGCAUUGUUUCGAUAGUGCUGCUUAAUUCUUGGAAGGUUCUUCGGACUUCACACAUUCCAGCAGUAGCUCUCUCAGCUCCUGUCCUGCACAGCUUUGAAGUGCUGGACAUUGACUUUAAUUCACAUGCUGGUUACCUCACAGUUAUAGGAUGGUUGCUGCAGCUCCUGGUGGUGUAACAUCAUUCCAGGCAGGAAGAAGGAUAUAGUGGAAGUCAGGCUGUGUUGGUAUCCUGACCAAGGCUUUAGGAUACUGGAAGCUUUUGCUUUCUGUCUCUUGAAACACUUGACCUUGAAUUCCACCUGCCAUGCUGUUUGGAAGCCCAAGCUGCACUGUGGAGCAACCCAUGUGAAAAGGAAUGGAGGCUCUGGCUGAACUUCUCGUUGACAGACAACACCAAAUUGCCAGCCAUGUGAGCCAGCCACCUUGGAAGUAUCAUCUCCAGCCCCAGUCUAGCUGCUGUCAUUGUAUGGGGGAGAACUAAGUUUUCCUUGUUAAGCCCUUUUCAAAUUGCUGAUUUGUGAGCCAAAUAAAUGAUUGUUUUUGCUUUAAGCCAAAAA
ensembl:lncRNA HULC hepatocellular carcinoma up-regulated long non-coding RNA